AUGCCAGGCUCCUACGGGAGGCAGCAGUGAGGAAUAUUGGUCAAUGGCCGAGAGGCUGAACCAGCCAAGUCGCGUGAGGGAUGACGGCCCUACGGGUUUUAAACCUCUUUUGCCGGGGAGCAAAGAGCGGGACGCGUCCCGCCUCGAGAGUACCCGGAGAAAAAGCAUCGGCUAACUCCGUGCCAGCAGCCGCGGUAAUACGGAGGAUGCGAGCGUUAUCCGGAUUUAUUGGGUUUAAAGGGUGCGUAGGCGGGAUGCCAAGUCAGCGGUAAAAAUGCGGUGCUCAACGCCGUCGAGCCGUUGAAACUGGCGUUCUUGAGUGGGCGAGAAGUAUGCGGAAUGCGUGGUGUAGCGGUGAAAUGCAUAGAUAUCACGCAGAACUCCGAUUGCGAAGGCAGCAUACCGGCGCCCUACUGACGCUGAGGCACGAAAGCGUGGGUAUCGAACAGGAUUAGAUACCCGUGUACA
rnacentral:rRNA from 1 species